GCACAGGCAGAGGCCAGAAUAGUUUUGAAGUGAAUACUGAGAAAAAUCCAGGAUUUCUGUGAGUCAGGCAUCUGGGUCAGAAGACAAGAAUUUCCAGGGGAAGUCCUCAGUCAUCCUGGUGCUUCCCCAAGUGAUGGUGGGAAUCUGACACUCAGAGGGAAUGAAGGGAACUGGAGGAAGAGCCAUCCUUGAGACAGUACAGCAAAGGACUUGGCUGAGUUAUGUCUCUGUCCUAAAACUUCUGGGAAGGCAGGAUUUAAAGCCCUGAACUAGGGAAGUUGGCUGAAGAAAUCUCUUAUGUGUUCGAGAGCUGAGUGGCUAAUAUGGUGCCUGGCUUCUUCCUGUCCUAGAGAGCAAGAUGCUGAGGCUACAGAGCUGAGAGAAACAAACUCCCAAGUAAAAAAGAGGAGAUAUCAUAAGGGUACCAAGUCAUAAUGUACUCACAGCCAAGUCUAGUGAUGAAGGCCCCACAUUGACAAAGAAAUACAAAGAAGCAACUACCAGGGCCUAAUGUAGCUUACUAAGAAUGGACGCUCAGCUGCCAUGGAAACAAAGCAAGUAGCAUCCUCUGGGACCAGCAAAAUACCAAAGUCCUUACUUCCUUAGGCCAGGGAGUUUGUCACCCAAUGGACUACAGAAGCCUAUCCAGUUGAAUAAGCUGUGGCCUCCUCUCUCCGGCCGACAGAGAACAGGUCAGGACUCUUCAUCCUGCUCUGAGACCUGAAGGAAACAUUCCCAAGUUCAUGUAUAAAGAGAAGAAUAUGCAGCAUGUAUGUCUAAUCUCCCCCUCAAGGCGACACACUUGAAAACAGAAAUCAAGAUUUAUCUCUCUAACUGUAAUCAUUCUAAAAGCCAGACAGAAUUAAUAGUGUUUCAUUUUGGGGGGAAAUUGUCUAAAGUUAAUAUAAAUUACUUAGGCUAUUAUUGAAAAAUCACAUAUAUAAAUCUGAUGUUUCUCUCAGGAUUGUGUUUGCAGAUUUAUAGACCCUAUGUAAUAUAAAUGAGAAUGAGGAAACAACGAUCUUAUUCAAUAUUCUCAUGCUGCACACAGUAAAUGGUCUAUAUCCACACCACUUUCUCUUUGCUCAGGCCACUCUGGCCUGCAGCUGCUCUCUGAAUCUACCAGGUUCUGUCCUGCGAUCCCUAAGUGGUGUAGCACAGGCUUUCUCUCGGAUGGAAGCCCUUUCAAUGUCCCUCCUUGUGAGUGACCUCCCUGAUUGCCUACUCAGCAUCACCCUCACCUCCAAACUCUCGCAGGUGUCCAAGCCCUUCGCUAUGGCUCAGCUCCAUCUGCCUGGGACAGCUUGGGUAUCACUACUAAAUUGCUUCAGAGGAACAUUUUGGAUUUUGUAUUCUUUCAGAUGUUGUAACAUUUUCAUUCACAUAAUGAGACGUCUUGGGAUGAAAACCAAGCCUAAGCAUGAAAUUCAUUUAUGUAUCACAUAUGCAUACCUGAAAUGUUAUAUAAUAUUUUUAGUGUGAAUAUAUUUUGACUAGGCCUGUCACAUCAAGUCAGGUAUAGAAUCUUUCCAUUUGUGGUCUCGUGUUAGCACUGAUGAGAACAUUUUCUAUUUCAGGACAUUUCAAAUGUCUCAUUUCUGAGUUAGGGAUGCUCAACCUGAAAUAGCCUUCGCUGGUUUUCCACUAGGCAGAGCUGCCCGAUAGGUGUGACUUAUGCAGCCACAUACAGCCCUACCCUCUAAGGAUCUACUCUUGGUUAUGCUCUGCCAUCACCCUUUUGAAUGCGUACUGCAUGAGGUCCAUCGGGAAACAGGAACAUGUGGCCAACGGAGCAGUUCACGUGUCCACUGUUCCUUUCUACCUCAUUUGCAUGUGGCUUUCUCAGUGUCCUAUGAAAAUAGAAUUCCAAAACAUGUGAAAGAUGAGUGAGACUCAAAGCCAAGUGCAUUUGUGAGUCAGCAGUGAGUAAGUACACUGACAGCCCCAAGAGGACAGAAAAAAAGGCAACUACAUUCUAAAUAGGAGCUAACUACCUAUCCCAGAUAGCAGGACGCAGAAAGAAAGCUGACACCACUUACAAUUCACUUUCCUUUUUUAUCAAGGUAGAAAAGUAGCAGGUAGAAUAUGGACAUCCCAUGGGGUGAAAUAAAACAACUGAUUGUUUGGGGUAGCAUUUUCACUGCAUAACUUUAGGGAUUCCAUAUGCAAGUUUAGAGGCCCCAUGUGAACAUUUAAAAAAAAAAAAAAACAAGCAUUGCAUAAUAUAAAAAUGAGAGUAAAUUUCAAAAUCAUUACUUAAUAUUUAAAAUAUUCUCCACACUGAAUUAUACUGAACAACAAAUUUUAAAAACGACCAUAAAUGAAGAGUCUGCAGAAAUACUGGUACUGUUUCCUGAAUUUUGAAUGAAGGGCUUCAGGCUUUCACUCUGCAUUGGAUCCAGCUAAUGAGACAGUGAGCCUGCCACUAUGACAGGAAUGUUCAGAACACAGGGCCUCUGCUUCAAGAACAGAUCUAUGUAAGUGUCGUACACAAUACCAUUUUGCGCUCGUUCAAUUUCAUUAAGUGUUUAUUAGACAUGAGGAAGAUGCAAUAAUACCAAAAGACCUUAGAAGCCAAGAAAACUCUUGUCCCCUUUUCUGCUCUGUGGGGGAUGUACCAUAGCCACAGAGCUACAUUUAGACAGGGGCAUAGACAAGGACCCAUCAGAGAACACCCGGGUCAAACUGGGUCCUAUGUUUGUUAGCUAUGUAAUCAAACAGAAGGGAAUGAACCCUGGUGAGUCUCAAUUUUCACUUUUGGGAAACACGGAUAAUAAAGCAUGUCAAAAGAUGAGGAAAGUGGAAGGCAAUUUGGAAAUAAGCUUGCUGUACAUUAAGUGUUUGUGUUUCAAAAGCUACCAGGUCUCUACAAAAGAUUAGCGGGAUAGCGGGUGGCCUCUCAGCAAGACCUGGGGAAGACAAGACGACCUAGGAGGAACAGAAACAACAAGGUCUACCAGUUGGAUGUCUGACACAGAAAACAUUUAAGAAUGAGUGUAAGAAGUUUCUCAGUAUAACCAAAGGAGGCAUAAUCACACCAUAAGGACAUUUGCUCAACUAGCAACAUCAUUCUUAAUAGCCAGAUCUUGGAAAUAACCUAGAUGCCCCUCAACUGAAGAAUGGACAAAGAAAAUGUGGUGACAAUGGUGCAGCUGGGACAAUAUAUGAGGCCACUGGCGCUAUUUAUGAAGACACUUCUGUGGCAUCCUGUGUGAUAAGUGUAUAUUAAAAUAAAUUAGCAUUAAAAAACAC
ensembl:lncRNA